rnacentral:rRNA from 1 species
CCAGACUCCUACGGGAGGCAGCAGUGGGGGAUAUUGCACAAUGGGGGGAACCCUGAUGCAGCGACGCCGCGUGGGUGAAGAAGCGCCUCGGCGCGUAAAGCCCUGUCAGCAGGGAAGAAAAUGACGGUACCUGACUAAGAAGCCCCGGCUGACUACGUGCCAGCAGCCGCGGUAAUACGUAGGGGGCAAGCGUUAUCCGGAUUUACUGGGUGUAAAGGGAGCGUAGACGGCAUGGCAAGUCUGAUGUGAAAACCCGGGGCUCAACCCCGGGACUGCAUUGGAAACUGUCAGGCUAGAGUGUCGGAGAGGCAAGUGGAAUUCCUAGUGUAGCGGUGAAAUGCGUAGAUAUUAGGAGGAACACCAGUGGCGAAGGCGACUUUCUGGACUGUACCUGACGCUGAGGCGCGAAAGCGUGGGUAGCGAACGGGAUUAGAUACCCUUGUAC